UUUGGGUUCUUGUGGUGCAACAUUCUCCUUAUCUCCAGGCUCAGAGACCUGGGCUCAAGCCCCACCUAAUCUGGAGGCAUGUAAUAACAUCUCUGAACAGGUCGAUUAGUAAACAGAGUUUUGCCCUCUUUCUCCUCAACAUUCCUACACUACAAGUAAAGCCAGUGGAACUUGGUGCAACUCCUUUCAGUUACAGAGGAUGGACUAACUCGCAUUAAAGAAUUCUUUGGGAUUUUCACACAAAUUGGUUGGAGUGGAGGGUGGAUGUGAGGAUGGAGCAGCCAUGGAAGCAUUCACACUGACAUUUCCCAUUUGGCCAGGCAGUUUGGGAAUCAAUGGAAAUGACUCCAAGUUGAUAGCGUCUGAAAGUUGGUGAGUAGAAAGAACUUUCCAGUACUGGAUUGUCAUCUCUAUAUCAUACAUGCCGGUUGCCUGGAUGAAUGCAGCUCCAACAACACUCAAAAAGCUUGACACCGUCCAAGGCAAAGCAACGCACUUGCCACUGUCAACACUCAAUCUCUUCACCACCAAAUGUACAAUGGCAGCAAUGUGUACUGCAGUAACUCACCAAAGUUCCUCUGACAACACCUACCAAACUCAUGACCUGUAGUGCAUAUAAGGACAAGGGCAGCAGAUACAUAGGAACACGACCACUUGCAAGUUUACCUCCAUGCAAGUUCACCAUCCUGUAUUGGAAAUAUAUCACCGUUCCUUCAGUGUCAUUGGGUCCAAAUCCUGGAACUCCCUUUCUGACAUCCCAAGGUCAGGAGCAGUUCAAGAGGCAGCUUAAAAUCUCCCUCUCCAGGGUAAUUAAAGACAGGCAAUAAGUACUAAACAUGCCAUUGACAUCUAUGUCCCAUUAAUAAGUAUUAAUAAAAGCAUAAUUCCUAUGGUUCUA